rnacentral:rRNA from 1 species
CAUGCAAGUCGAACGCGAAAGGGGCUUCGGCCCUGAGUAGAGUGGCAAACGGGUGAGUAACACGUGGGUGACCUGCCUUCGAGUGGGGGAUAACGUUCCGAAAGGAGCGCUAAUACCGCAUGACAUCCUGCCUUUGGACAGGCGGAGAUCAAAGCCCGGGAUCGCAAGACCUGGCGCUUGAAGAGGGGCCCGCGCCUGAUUAGCUAGUUGGUGGGGUAAUGGCUCACCAAGGCGACGAUCAGUAGCCGGCCUGAGAGGGCGGACGGCCACACUGGGACUGAGACACGGCCCAGACUCCUACGGGAGGCAGCAGUGGGGAAUUGUUCGCAAUGGGCGCAAGCCUGACGACGCAACGCCGCGUGGAGGACGAAGAUCUUCGGGUCGUAAACUCCUGUCGAGCGGGACGAAACCCGCGGGGGUGAACAACUCCUGCGGAUGACGGUACCCCCAAAGCAAGCCCCGGCUAAUUCCGUGCCAGCAGCCGCGGUAAUACGGAAGGGGCGAGCGUUGUUCGGAAUUAUUGGGCGUAAAGGGCGCGUAGGCGGCUCCAUAUGUCGGCGGUGAAAGCAUACAGCUCAACUGUAUUGAGCCGCGGAAACUGUGGGGCUUGAGGCUGGGAGGGGCUGGUGGAAUUCCCUGUGUAGCGGUGAAAUGCGUAGAGAUGGGGGAGAACACUUGUGGCGAAAGGCGGCCAGCUGGACCAGUUCUGACGCUGA